UGGGGAAUAUUGGACAAUGGACCAAGAGUCUGAUCCAGCAAUUCUGUGUGCACGAUGAAGUUUUUCGGAAUGUAAAGUGCUUUCAGUUAGGAAGAAAAAAAUGACGGUACCAACAGAAGAAGUGACGGCUAAAUACGUGCCAGCAGCCGCGGUAAUACGUAUGUCACGAGCGUUAUCCGGAUUUAUUGGGCAUAAAGCGCGUCUAGGUGGUUAUAUAAGUCUGAUGUGAAAAUGCAGGGCUCAACUCUGUAUUGCGUUGGAAACUGUAUAACUAGAGUACUGGAGAGGUAAGCGGAACUACAAGUGUAGAGGUGAAAUUCGUAGAUAUUUGUAGGAAUGCCGAUGGGGAAGCCAGCUUACUGGACAGAUACUGACGCUGAAGCGCGAAAGCGUGGGUAGCAAACAGGAUUAGAUACCCUGGUAGUCCACGCCGUAACGAUGAUUACUAGGUGUUGGGGGUCAAACCCCAGCGCCCAAGCAAAUGCGAUAAGUAAUCCGCCUGGGGAGUACGUACGCAAGUAUG
rnacentral:rRNA from 1 species